rnacentral:lncRNA from 1 species
UUUUAAUUAUUUUUUUUUUUCUUCCACCAAAUUUUUUUCUUGCGUAGUAUUGUUGUUUAAUAAGUUGUCGCUUAGAUAUUUGGAAAAUGAUAUCGUAUAGUUUAUACGCUUUAAAAAUUUACAACCGCGUAACAAAAUACUUUACGUUGUAAGAGUUAUCUCCCCAAAUACUGUUUUUCUUGUGGCCACUACUCCUUGGCAACCGUUAAAGAUUACGACAAAUUUAUUUUACCAAAUUGCUCGUUACAUCUUCAGGAUUAGGAUAUUUAUUUGGACCGAAGCUUUACGGAGACCCAUAUGAGAGUUAUUCCCCCUUUUCCAUUUAAUUAAGUGAUAUGCAUUUCUAAAUGGUAAACCAUAAGUGAUAGAGACAUAGGGUCUUUAGAUUUGAAGUCCUUGGUCCAAAAAAAUAAAAAGUAGAUCAAGGUCAAAGGUCAAGGUCAUAUUCUAAAUUUUGAUUUUGGCUUAUUUUUCACUUAUUUUCAAAUACCGUAUGACAUUUCGCAAAUAUUUUUUUCAUAAAUUGUUAGUUGCUACAUGUCCAUUACUUGUAUAUUUUGGUUAAAGGGUGCGCAGCUCAUAAAUUGGAGUUUUUGUCCAUCUUACAUUUAGAAUUACGUGUAAAGUGAUAUUACUCAUUAACCAAACAUAUUAAAGACCUAGGGUCUUCUGAUUUAAGGUCCUUUUUGUGACCUUGAAAUUGAGGUCAAGGUCAUAGGUUAAAACGACGUUCUACAUUUUGACCUUUGCUUUAAAUUCAUAUUUAUACAUUAUAAAGUCAUAGGAACUGACAUUUUAGAUUCAUU